UACAGAGGGUGCGAGCGUUAAUCGGAAUUACUGGGCGUAAAGCGCACGUAGGUGGCUUGGCAAGUCGGGUGUGAAAUCCCCGGGCUCAACCUGGGAACUGCAUUCGAGACUGCCUUGCUCGAGUAUGGGAGAGGGAAGUGGAAUUUCCGGUGUAGCGGUGAAAUGCGUAGAUAUCGGAAGGAACAUCAGUGGCGAAGGCGACUUCCUGGACCAAUACUGACACCCAGGUGCGAAAGCGUGGGGAGCAAACAGG
rnacentral:rRNA from 1 species